CUGGCGGCGUGCCUAAUACAUGCAAGUAGAACGCUGAAGAGAGGAGCUUGCUCUUCUUGGAUGAGUUGCGAACGGGUGAGUAACACGUAGGUAACCUGCCUUGUAGCGGGGGAUAACUAUUGGAAACGAUAGCUAAUACCGCAUAACAAUGGAUGACACAUGUCAUUUAUUUGAAAGGGGCAAUUGCUCCACUACAAGAUGGACCUGCGUUGUAUUAGCUAGUAGGUGAGGUAACGGCUCACCUAGGCGACGAUACAUAGCCGACCUGAGAGGGUGAUCGGCCACACUGGGACUGAGACACGGCCCAGACUCCUACGGGAGGCAGCAGUAGGGAAUCUUCGGCAAUGGGGGCAACCCUGACCGAGCAACGCCGCGUGAGUGAAGAAGGUUUUCGGAUCGUAAAGCUCUGUUGUAAGUCAAGAACGAGUGUGAGAGUGGAAAGUUCACACUGUGACGGUAGCUUACCAGAAAGGGACGGCUAACUACGUGCCAGCAGCCGCGGUAAUACGUAGGUCCCGAGCGUUGUCCGGAUUUAUUGGGCGUAAAGCGAGCGCAGGCGGUUUGAUAAGUCUGAAGUUAAAGGCUGUGGCUCAACCAUAGUUCGCUUUGGAAACUGUCAAACUUGAGUGCAGAAGGGGAGAGUGGAAUUCCAUGUGUAGCGGUGAAAUGCGUAGAUAUAUGGAGGAACACCGGUGGCGAAAGCGGCUCUCUGGUCUGUAACUGACGCUGAGGCUCGAAAGCGUGGGGAGCGAACAGGAUUAGAUACCCUGGUAGUCCACGCCGUAAACGAUGAGUGCUAGGUGUUGGAUCCUUUCCGGGAUUCAGUGCCGCAGCUAACGCAUUAAGCACUCCGCCUGGGGAGUACGACCGCAAGGUUGAAACUCAAAGGAAUUGACGGGGGCCCGCACAAGCGGUGGAGCAUGUGGUUUAAUUCGAAGCAACGCGAAGAACCUUACCAGGUCUUGACAUCCCGAUGCUAUUUCUAGAGAUAGAAAGUUACUUCGGUACAUCGGUGACAGGUGGUGCAUGGUUGUCGUCAGCUCGUGUCGUGAGAUGUUGGGUUAAGUCCCGCAACGAGCGCAACCCCUAUUGUUAGUUGCCAUCAUUCAGUUGGGCACUCUAGCGAGACUGCCGGUAAUAAACCGGAGGAAGGUGGGGAUGACGUCAAAUCAUCAUGCCCCUUAUGACCUGGGCUACACACGUGCUACAAUGGUUGGUACAACGAGUUGCGAGUCGGUGACGGCAAGCUAAUCUCUUAAAGCCAAUCUCAGUUCGGAUUGUAGGCUGCAACUCGCCUACAUGAAGUCGGAAUCGCUAGUAAUCGCGGAUCAGCACGCCGCGGUGAAUACGUUCCCGGGCCUUGUACACACCGCCCGUCACACCACGAGAGUUUGUAACACCCGAAGUCGAUGAGGUAACCUUUUGGAGCCAGCCGCCUAAGGUGGGAU
rnacentral:rRNA from 1 species